rnacentral:rRNA from 1 species
CCCAGUUCGGAUCGCAGGCUGCAACCCGCCUGCGUGAAGUUGGAAUCGCUAGUAAUCGCGGAUCAGCAUGCCGCGGUGAAUACGUUCCCGGGCCUUGUACACACCGCCCGUCACACCAUGAGAGUCGGGAACACCCGAAGUCCGUAGCCUGACCGCGAAGGGGGCGCGGCCGAAGGUGGGUUCGAUAAUUGGGGUGAAGUCGUAACAAGGUAAC